rnacentral:tRNA from 1 species
GAGGGUGUAGCUCAAGCGGUAGAGCACAUGCUUAGCAUGCACAGCAUCCUGGGUUCAAUCCCCAGUACCUCCU